UCAGAAUUAAGAUGGCAGGGUCCAGCCAGUGCACAGAAAGGCUGUUGUUAUACACAGAUCUACAGAGUAUAGAACCAGUUACUGAUGAUAAAAGAAUAUUAAAGCAUAUAAUGAUUGAUAUUCUCAAUCUGAGGAAUGGAAUGGAAGAUAACCUACUCCUAAUCCAACAAAUCAACCUGAUGAUACAGAAUGAAGGAGAGGAGCUGAAGGGGUUUAAUGAUAUAAUCCAUGCUGCCCAGCAACAUAUUAAAUCCGUCAACUCUGUUUAUACACUGGGAUUAUCUUGGCUUAAAGAUGAGACUGCUUUUGCACUUAGUAUUAUUGAAGGCCCUAAUAGCUGUUCUACCGUACAGAAAAUGGAAGAUUGUGAUGACGACACUUCCAACAGAAUGGAUGAUUGUGAUGAUAUAAAAAUAGAAAUGGAAGAGAAUACUGUUCCUGUAGAUCCUGCAGAGAUACUCAAACUUGACACCAAGAAGGAACAGGGAAUGUUUGAGGAAAAAUCAGAUAAAAAGAGGGAAAACAGAAGAAAUAGAGGCGAAAAAGAUUUUGUAAAAACUACAAAUUCCGUAUUUUCAUGCUCCUUAUGUGAUUAUAGAACACGAGUUAAAUUCUCGUUGAAGCAGCAUGUUUUAGUAAAACAUCAGGGCUUUCGAUAUCCAUGUGAUCUUUGUGAUAAAUCAUUUGGCGAAGAACAUAACCUAAAAAGACACAAGAAAAAUGUCCAUGAGGGGGUAAAAUAUCCAUGUGACGAAUGUCAACAUUCUGCUUCAAGUCAAAGUCAGCUAAAGCUACAUAUAGACAGUUGUCACCGAGGUAUUAAAUACUCGUGUGAUGAAUGUGAAUUUGUUACAGUUUCAAAACAUACAAUGAAGAAGCAUAGAGUUUUGCAGCACAAUGAAACUGAUCUAAUUGAAGGAGGAAGUAUUUAUCCCUGUGAUUCAUGUGAAUAUGUCACGGGUUGCAAAUCUAAUUUAAAGAUACACAUAGAAGCUAGACACAUUACGCCUGAACUUAUUAUGUGUGAUCAAUGCGAUCAUAUGGCCUCCACUAAAGGUAACUUAAAAGUGCAUAUUGAAAGCAAACAUAACACCACCAUUGAAUACCUGUGUGAUUUAUGUGAUUACAAAACGUUUAAUAAAAAUAGUUUUAAUGCCCACAAACAUAGACAUGAAAACUUGUAUUUAUGUGAUCAAUGCCCUUACAUUGGAAAACUGAAAGCAGAAUUGAAAAAGCACAAAAAAGUGAAACAUGAAGGAGUGAGAUAUCCCUGUGAUCUAUGUAGCCAUAUGGCACAGAAUAGGGUUCAUCUGAAGACUCAUAAAGAAGCAGUUCAUAUAGGAAUCAAGUAUCCUUGUGAUCUUUGUGAAUUCUCAGCUUCAAAUAAAGCUAAUUUGAAAGAGCACAAGGCAUGCAAACAUGACAAUACUAAAUACCCUUGUGAUCAGUGUGGUCAUGUUUCGUCAACGCAAGCAGCAUUGAAGAAGCACAUAAGGAGUAAGCAUUUGUAACAAAUGUUUAUUUUUUCUUGUAUCAAAAUAAGUUACAUUUUUAUGUUUUUGGGGGAUGAAAUAAUUGUAGAAAAUAUUAAUAUUAAUUUAAAAACUGCCAAAAUGCAUGAAUCUUCAUAUUGUGAUUGGCGAUUACGAUUUAGAACACAUGAAAAUGACGUGUUAUUCAAUUUACCGAGAGUUAACACCGCAUUUAUAGUAAACAAAAUCUGUGUUAAAAUAUCUUGAAUUAAAAAACUAGUAUCUGCUUUUUUCUCUUAAAUUAACAUCUUGGUCCAGGUCCAGUAUUUUUUACUGAAAAAUAUGUGAAAUAUGCGAUGAAAUUAGUUUUUUUCACAUAAAUCUAUUGUAAAUUUUAAAACAUGUGUUCCGAGGCAAAAUCACAAAUCAAUAUGUUGUUACAAUCUUUAUUAUUCUUCUUAUCUUAUUUUCCCUCCUUAUCAUGUUCUGGCCAAUUUUGAAUAAUAUGUAUUUUGUUAAAAAUCUUUUUUAUGAAAUUUACACUAUUACAGA
rnacentral:misc_RNA from 1 species